CGACCGGCGCACGGGUGAGUAACGCGUAUGCAACUUACCUAUCAGAGGGGGAUAGCCCGGCGAAAGUCGGAUUAAUACCCCAUAAAACAGGGGUCCCGCAUGGGAAUAUUUGUUAAAGAUUCAUCGCUGAUAGAUAGGCAUGCGUUCCAUUAGGCAGUUGGCGGGGUAACGGCCCACCAAAGCGACGAUCGGUAGCCGGACUGAGAGGUUGAACGGCCACAUUGGGACUGAGACACGGCCCAG
rnacentral:rRNA from 1 species